GGGCCCGCACAAGCGGUGGAGCAUGUGGUUUAAUUCGAUGAUACGCGAGGAACCUUACCAGGGCUUAAAUGCAGAACGACAGGGGUGGAAACACCCUCUUCUUCGGACGGUCUGCAAGGUGCUGCAUGGUUGUCGUCAGCUCGUGCUGUGAAGUGUCGGGUUAAGUCCCAUAACGAGCGCAACCCCUAUUUCUAGUUGCCAGCGGUUCGGCCGGGGACUCUAGAAAAACUGCCAGCGUAAGCUGUGAGGAAGGUGGGGAUGACGUCAAAUCAUCACGGCCCUUACGUCCUGGGCUACACACGUGCUACAAUGGUAGGGACAGAGAGUUGCCAACCCGCGAGGGUGAGCUAAUCUUCAAACCCUAUCUCAGUUCGGAUCGGAGUCUGCAACUCGACUCCGUGAAGUUGGAAUC
rnacentral:rRNA from 1 species